GAUGAACGCUGGCGGCGUGCCUAAUACAUGCAAGUCGAGCGAACGGACGAGGAGCUUGCUUCUCUGACGUUAGCGGCGGACGGGUGAGUAACACGUGGAUAACCUACCUAUAAGACUGGGAUAACUUCGGGAAACCGGAGCUAAUACCGGAUAAUAUUUUGAACCGCAUGGUUCAAUAGUGAAAGACGGUCUUGCUGUCACUUAUAGAUGGAUCCGCGCUGCGUUAGCUAGUUGGUAAGGUAACGGCUUACCAAGGCAACGAUGCGUAGCCGACCUGAGAGGGUGAUCGGCCACACUGGAACUGAGACACGGUCCAGACUCCUACGGGAGGCAGCAGUAGGGAAUCUUCCGCAAUGGGCGAAAGCCUGACGGAGCAACGCCGCGUGAGUGAUGAAGGUCUUCGGAUCGUAAAACUCUGUUAUUAGGGAAGAACAUAUGUGUAAGUAACUGUGCACGUCUUGACGGUACCUAAUCAGAAAGCCACGGCUAACUACGUG
rnacentral:rRNA from 1 species